rnacentral:lncRNA from 1 species
AGACAGCAGAAGAGACUGUCAGCAGACCACCUUGGAGGGGAUGCUUGGAGCUGCCUAACGUGUGAUUCAAAGAUGAAUUCCAUGUGUUUGGAGAAGAAGCCCUAGCCUCAACACAAAGGUUGGCCACAUUCCAGCCAAGGUAGCACGGAGUGAAGGCCCGUGGAGGGAGAGCUGGGCUUUUCUGAACUACUUCAGUACACCUUGCUGUGCCUUGGCCUGCCGUGUUUCAUCCCCAUGGCUGUCCUCAGUGAUGUGCAUGGUCACUGCUCCCUUCACCACUGAGAAGACGGGCACAGGACAGUCAGGGGAUGUGUCCAAGGUCCCACAGCAGGAAGGGCUGGAGCCAGAAUGUGGUCUGAGAGGCUGGAUAUACAAAGAGACAAUGGCAUGACCAUCUGUACAAAUGGAACUAUGGCCCACAACCUGCAGCAGCCAGCCCAGGAAGCCAACCCGUCACCUGCAGCAGCCAGGAUGGAUGCUGGCCUGCCCUCAGAGUCUGAGAGACUCUCCUGCCCCACAGUGUGGGCUCCACCACCCUCCUGCCUGCUGUGGGAAAUCAGGAGGGUGAAGGUGAAGCUGGACUUGGCCCAGAGGUGCCCACAGGGACGCCCAGAGCUGCACAAGCUCCCUCCAUCUUGCCUCUGGGACCAGCUCUGCAUUGCUCCAAAGCCCUCAUCAGUGUCUGCUUUCUGUUGCAAUAACUGAAUACCUGAGAUUGGACAAUUUAUAAAGAAAAAAAUUAUAUCUGA